rnacentral:rRNA from 1 species
AGACGAAGGUGGCAACCGUUGUUCGGAAUCACUGGGCAUAAAGCGCACGUAGGCAGGAACGUAAGUCGGGUGUGAAAUCCCCUGGCUCACCCAGGGAACUGCGUCCGAUACUGCGAGGCUUGAGGACAGGAGGGGAGAGCGGAACUUCUGGUGGAGCGGUGAAAUGCGUAGAUAUCAGAAGGAACACCGGUGGCGAAAGCGGCUCUCUGGUCUGUCCCUGACGCUGAGGUGCGAAAGCUAGGGGAGCAAACGGGAUUAGAAACCCCGGUAGUCC